CUAAGGAGCAUCUGCGCAGGCGCCUCGAAGAGUCGAGUGUGACUGUGCCAGAGCCGUUUCGGACUCACAUGUAGUCCGGCGGAGCUCAUGGGUGGAACGCUGACAACCUCUCCCGCGGAUGGGAAAAGCCAAGUCUUUUCUCGCGGUGGAUAUAUCGACACACUGUUGGGUCCUGAAAGAACAGACGUUCUUUCCAGGCAAAAAACGAUCUACUCGGAUGUCGAGUGAAACCGCCGGUUCUCCGGUAGGUCCUCCGAGGAAUUCUGGGUGGGUGUGUUGCUUGAGAACUGCACAGUGGACGCGAGCAUCUUUGUUAGUAAGUGUGUAAGAGCGUAC
rnacentral:misc_RNA from 1 species